rnacentral:rRNA from 1 species
GGUGGAGCGAUUUGUCUGGUUAAUUCCGAUAACGAACGAGACUCUGGCCUAUUAAAUAGACGAGAUAUUCUAAAGUAUCUCGCGCUUCUUAGAGGGACAAGCGGCGUCUAGUCGCAUGAAAAAGAGCAAUAACAGGUCUGUGAUGCCCUUAGAUGUCCGGGGCUGCACGCGCGCUACACUGAAAGAAUCAGUGGGCGUUAUACCUAGUUCGGAAGAACCGGGUAACCCAAGUAAUUUCUUUCGUGCUUGGGAUAGGGAAUUGCAAUUAUUUCCCUUAAACGAGGAAUUCCCAGUAAACGCGGGUCAUAAGCUCGUGUUGAAUACGUCCCUGCCCUUUGUAC